AGCACGUCUGACAAUGGAAAUGGCGGGCUCUGGAGGACAGGAACACCAGGCAGAGGUCACCUUCUUGAAUGCUGUACUUUCCUCGCAGCUGCCUCCGGGGCAUGGUGUGAUGCGAGCAGUUCUGCCACUGCAGGCUCUAGAUGUCACAUCAGUGGAGCAACACCGUCUGUGCUUGGUAUCUUUGAGCCUUAUCCAUGCUGUUCACGUGAGGGAGUGUGUUUCUGUUUAUUGCUGACAUUUUGCAUGAAUACAAGACACAUGCAGAGAUUCUGGGGGUUGCUCAGCACGUGGAGGCCCUAGGGGGAUGGUGAGCCCAAGUGCACACAGAAGCUCCGUGGCAUUUCCUCCGAACCUUGCCUAGGACUCCCCUGCAUCUGGCUGUUCCUGAAUUGUAUGCUCUUAGAAUAAAUAGGAAAAUGAGUGGUCAAGAUAAAGAACAUGUCCAUCUCUACAAGGUGCCCUCAGGUUCCACACACACACUUCUCUCCACCCUCCACCUCUUCAGCUCUGGACAGCGGUUGGCCUUCUCUAUUUCUAGAACAUCUGCCAUUUCUGGAGUGGAAACAUACAACACGUGACUUUUGGGGACUGGCUUUGCUCAUGGCAUGACUGUCAGGAGGUUCACCAGGUGGGUGCUGGCUAGAACCUGGGGUCGUGGAUGUCCUGGGGCUUCAUCACUCACCUGCUGAAGGACAUCUGGCUCGUUUCCAGUUUGGAACCCUGAUGAAUAAAACUGCUUCACACAUUUUUAUACCGUUUUCAUGGGAAUGUGUCUAUUUUUCUGGGAACACAGUCGGUGGGUCGCACUCCUACCAGCAGCGUGUGGGUGGCCCUGUCCCUUCACAUCCUCACGGGUGUUGACUGGUCACACCUUUUACCUCAGCCAUCCCUACAGGCCCCUUGUGGUUUGAAUUUGCAUGUCCUAGUCGCUAGGGAGCCACUAGAUGCUGAACCCCUUUGCCGGCAUUUCCUUGUCAUGUGCAUUUCCUCUUUGGUAAAAUGUUUGUUCAUGUCUUUUAUCCAUUUCCCAAUUGGACUGUUUAGAAUUUCAAGAGUUUUAAAAAUUUAUUUUAAAACAGUCUUUGGUUAGAUAUAUGAUCUGCAAACAUUUUCUCCCACUCUGUAGCUUGUCUUUCCAUCCUUUUAACAGGGUCUACAACAAAGGAAAUUAAAAAAAAAAAAUUUAUGGGGCUGGGAUUGUAGCUCAGUGGUAGAGCGCUGCCUACACAGUGAGGUCCUGGGUUCCAUCCUCAGCACAUCAUAAAGUUAAAUAAAUAAAAUAACGGUAUUAACAAAAUUUUAUGAAGUCAAUUUUUCCUUUGUGUCUUUGUUAUCAAGUCUAAGAACUUUCCACCAGAUCUAAGUUCCUAAAGAUCUUGCUGAACUUACUUACAAGCCUAGGGGUUUUUUUGUUUGUUUGUUUGUUUGUUUGUUUGUUUUUUGUAAUUGUUAUUCUUGCUUUUCAGGCUCAGGAUUUUCUGAUAACUAUUGUCCUUUUCUAAAAGAGACAGUUGCUUUCCUUCUUUUCUGAUCUGAGUGCCUUUUAUUUCUCUUUCUUGCCUUAUUGUACUGGAUAGUACAUCUGGUACUUCGGUGAAUAAAUGCCCUAUUUCCAAUCUGAGGGGAAGGCCUGCAACCCUUAGCUAUUAGCUAUUAGGCAUAAUAUAGAUGAUCUUUAUCAAGUUGAGCAAGUUCCCCUCUAUUGCUAUUUUUCUGAGAAGUUUUUAAAAUCAUAAGUGUUGAAAUUUGUCAAGUAACUUUUGCAUCAACUGGCUUAAUCAUGUGAUUUUUAAAUUUUUUUAGUCUAUUAAAAUAUAGACUGCAUUGAUUAAUUUUCAAAUAAUGAACCAGGCUUGCAUCUCUGGAAUAAUCCAAACAUGGUCAUAGUUUAUAAUUCUUUUUUGUUUAUUGCUAACUGUAUUUGCUAAUAUUUUGUUAAGAAUUUUUGCUUCUACAUUUGAGGGACAUUUGUGAUUUUUUUCUAUUUUGUAAUGGCUUUGUCUAGUUUUGGUGUCAAGAUUACACUUGCUUCCUAAAAUGAAUUGGGAAAUAUUUCAUCCUUUCAUUUUCUGGAAAAGACUGUGUAGAAUAGAUAUUAAUUCUUCUUUAAAUGUUUGAGUCAGUGAUACUAUUUGGCUUGGAUAUUUCUUUUCUUCUUUUAAUUACUAAUUCAUUUUCUUUAGAAUUUUAUGGGAAAGAAACAGGCUGGUAGAAUUAUUCACCUCAAGCAAUUUUUUAAAUUUUUUCAUUAAAAAAUGUGUUCUAAUUAGUUAUACAUAAUAGCAGAAUGCAUUAUGGGGCCUUUUGUGUAAGAGAAAUGGUGUCUCCAAGAGACAGCCCUGAGCCUCAGGGGCUGUGGAGCUGAAUGAACUCUGCCCCCUGGAAUUCAAGAUUAUGGAUUGCUGACCCUCAGGUUCCCUUUGGGUGGAAUGUUUAUAACUGGUUUCCCAAGCCUGUCCCAUCACUAAAGUUCAGGGCAGAUGACUCAGUUUCAGUUUCACAGGUCCCAGGCAGAAAGGGAUUUUGUUCCAAGAUGGUGGGUCAUACUCAGUGUCUUCCUCAUAUCUGCUUGGAUGACUUGGAAGAUGAGAGUUGGGACUUUUCACUGAUGAGAUUUAUAUGGAAUUGAGACUUUGAAUUAUGCUGUAGUAGACUGAGACUUUGGGGAUGGGGUGAGUGUAUUCUGUGGAAUAGAAAUAACUCUCUUGGAGCAGAUUGAGGCUUUUCUUCUCAGAAUAAUGGCCUCCCAAUGAGUGGCCUCUCAAAGAUGUCCACAUUUGCACCUCUGGAACAUGUGAACGUAUGUGAAUAUGCUUACAGAUGUGAUUUACGGUCUCGAGAUGGGAGACUAUCCUGGCUUAUGUCACAAGGGUGAGAGAGACAGAGACAGAGACAGAGACAAGGGCAGGAUAGUCAGGCCAGAAUGAUGCAAUAUCAGAAAGACCUGACUAGACUUCACUGACUUUGAAGAUGGAAGGAUUCACAAGCCAAGGAGUGUGUGUGGAAGUGAGUUCUGCACUAGGACCUCCGUGAGGUAACACAGCCCUGACUCUCCUUGAUUCUAACCCAGUGAGAUCCCUUUCAGAUACCUAACUUCUGCAACUAUAAGAAAAUAAAUGUGAAUUGUCUUAAGCUACUAAAUUUGUGAUACUAUGUCACACCCUUUUCUCAUCUCCACCCCCGGUUCCUAGCAGUGUUGGGCAAGCCCCUCUCCUCUCUGGAUUAGGGGCACGCACGGCUAUUACUGUGUCACAGGACAGGACACUGCCUGAGGACAUGCAGUCUCUAUCUGGCAGGUGCCCAGAUUUGAAGCUCAGUCCUUUGAAAGUUUACUCACCUGUUCCCUCUGCCACCACCCAGCUCUGCUGACUGGUAGGAGCCCCAUUCUCUUGGAUGUCACACAGAGGUGCUAUGCUUUAGUGACCCCCGCCUGCCCUUUGAAAACUCUCUGGUGGAUUUUGUGUGGAAGUCAACCCUGCAGGUCCAGAACUCGCCGCUGCCUUUUCAGGCUAAAGAAAGUUGCUUCUGCAGCCUGAGCCCGCAGCACAUUCCGGGCAUCUGUGGUGUGAAGCAGAGUCAGAGGAGGAAGGGGUUUUGUGACGUGAACUGCUCUGUGUUGGUUACCCAGGAAUCUGGUGCCAGUUGGCGUUCCUCAGGGUGGAAGGCCCCUCAGCUGGGGGAAGCCGCCUGCCAUGAAGAGGGAGGGCAGGAUGCUGGGGACUUCCUGGGGAGCAGGAGGAAGAAACAUCAGAGGGAAGCCCCUGAGGCUGUGCCCCUUUCCCUCUCCUCAUUCAUUUGCUAGGGUUGCCAUGACAAAAUGCCACAGAUGCGGUGGCUUCAACAGCAGAAAUGGAUCGCCUCACAGUAUUGGAGGCUACAGGUCCAAGAUCAAGGUGUCUUCAGGGUUGGGUUCUCCUCGGCGCUCUCUCCUGGGCCACCUUCCUUCUGUGUCCUCACAUGGUCUGUCCUCUGUGCAUGUGUGACCCUGGUGUCUCCUUUGGUGUCCACAUUUCCUCCUAUAAGGACACGUCCUUAUGGGGAUAAAUCAGAACCCACCCUAACGACUUGUUUCAACUUACCUCUUUAAAGACUUGGUCUCCAAAUACAGUCAAGUUUGAGGCUCAGAUUGACAGGGUAAGGGAAAGCACCGACGCUUUUGGUUUGCCAGGGAGGCAGAACUUCCAUUCAGGCCCACCCCACUUCUGUUCUCUCAUCCUGGCUGCAAUCCCAGUACCCCAGGAGGUUGAGGUCAGCUGGUCUUGGAGGCCCUGGGGUUGGGGACUACAGUGCUGUGUGGAACAGGCAUCCACACCCACUUGGCCCUGGCCAACCCGGGGACAGGUCGGUGACCCUGGCUUGCUACACCUCAGGCCUGCACCAGCAUCCAAGGCUCUGCAGGCUACCUGCUCUCCAGCCUACUCCAGCCACUUCUCUGUACUUGGGGACAAGGGCUUGGCUUCACCUUUGCUGAGGGGUCAUGUGUUUUUUGAAAACUUGACCUCUACCCAACCAAAAGCGACUCUUCAUUGGUCUAGGCCAGUGGUGGUGCCUGCCCUUGCCUAUUAAUUAUUUAAUCAUGGGAAGACUGUGCUGAUUCUGGACAAAGAGGAGAUAUUCACUUUCUCUGCCUCUGCCUCUGAAGAUGGUAAACAGCGGGUGGACUCUAAUUCCAGCAGACCUUGGGACGGUGGGGAUAGCUGCAGGACAGCUGAGCUAGAUCCAGAUGUUUCUGUCAGUGAGUUAACCACCCGGAAAUUGCUAUGCCUCCAUACUUCAAAUUCUGCAAAACAGUAAACCUCCUUAUUGGUAAAGCCACUUUUAUUUAGAUAUUAUAUGAUUUGCUGUCCAAACCAUCUCCUGUGGCCUUUGGAAAGUCAAUGUUGGAUGGAGACACCAAGUGAACGUUCCCUUCUCUCUCUUUAAUACAAUCCAACAUGUUUGACUGGCUGUUCUGUCUGGUCUGUCUCCUGAAGAAGUGUCUUUGCUAGUGACCUUCAAAGACCUGGUCCUGAUGGGAGCACUAUUUCCUAAAGUAGAGCUGGUUUGAAAAAGAGAACACAUUCAAGAGAUUCCUAAGAAGGAUUUUCUUCUGUUUUCACGGGAAACAAAACUCACUGUCGAUAAUUUUAAUGACAGGGAAGAGCUUCAAGUCACGUGUUCACUAACGGCUCGGGACUUUUCCCACCCCCACAAACAGGAUGCCAGAGUGUGACUCUCAUUCUGCUAAGUUGAAAUUGAGGUGGGGACCUAGGCAGAGACAGAGAAUGCCCGGUGGUGGGAAUGGGGGUGGGGGCAGGAGCUUGGUACCCAGGUGCGGGGCCUGCUGACAGCACCCAUCUGAACCAGGGCUGGGCUAAGCAGGGGUACCUUCACUCAAACUGACAUUAAUUGAGCAUCUGGUGUCUGCCAGACUCCGUGGGAGGUGCCUGAGAAACAGGGAGCGUGAUCAUUGCCCACAGGGAGCAUGCAAUCUCCACACGCCCCAGCCUUCAGGACCCCACCCACUCCUGUCCGUCAGUCCUAAGCUCCUGCCCUGAUGGUUCUGACUUCUCAUUCCACUCCUAAAUUGUGGUGUUGCUGGGUUGUAAAUGUGCAUGCCACCUGCUCCUCCUCACAUUUCAUAUGAUUUUCUUAUUAUCAAAAUUCAGAAACAUAGUCGGUUUAAGGCUGUGAAGAGUUACUGAGCACCUACUAUGAGCCAGAUGGGGAGGGCUUUACCGAGGUGAAUGAGAUGUCCUGUACUUCCAGGAAACCACAGCUCACUGGGGCUAAAUGAUUUGCACACCCCAAGGCAGAGCAAGUGUCUAGGUGACAAGCAGCAUCUGAAGGGUGCAGACAACACCUGCUGGGGGACUUCAGUGCAACCCGACACAUAUUUGCUGAGUGCGUUGUGUGCUAAUCAAACUCCAAAGGCAGGACUGAGGGAGCUCGAUUCCUCCCCUUCUAGGAGCCCACUAUUAAGUAAAAAUGCUGUAAUCCUGUUAGUCAUAUCAGCUAGCGUUUAUUGAACAUUAAAUAUUAUUACAUACUUCCAUGUGAUUUCCAUAUAAUAGCUCAUUUAAUAAUUAAUUCAACCCUGUGAGGCUUCGGGAGGUUGAGUAAUGUUCGGAAGAUCACAGGGUGAGUGUGACAAGUGAGAGAUUAAUGAAGAAUCUAAUCAUCAAUCUGACUUGUAAUGGGUCUGGAUAGGGAGCGCCUGGGAUCUUUAUGCCGAGGAGCCGUGGGAGUGGUGGACUGGUAGUCCACCGCAGACAGCCUCAUGGACUGGGGGGCCACGUUGCCGAGGCGUUCCCGCAGCACUGCUGGAAACCACAGAGCUCCAGAGACCUCACUCCCAGGCGUGGUGCAGGGCCUGGCGCUGCUGAAAACAGGGAUCUCGGGAAAGAAAGCGUGACAGGGCAGUAGCUUUCCUCUGUCCACAUGUGCUGAGCCGAGCGAGGUUAAUCGAGGACACCUGGAAUUAGGAUCCCAUGGAAAUUUACCCUUGAACUAGGUAGUAAAUCUCCCUAAUUAUGCAAUCUAAUUAGAGCUAUCAACAACAGCCAAGGGUUGCAAGGAGGGCUGCUGAGCAUCCUACUGUGGCUCAGCUCCUGCGGACCUGCAGCUUGGCUGAUGGGGUGGUUUCUGAUCUGUUUUAUCAUGUCUUCCUGAAGGCCAAGGAAGCUCUUCUUCUGGGCAUUCCCAAGUCACCUUUUUACACUGACACAACCUGUUGUCAGUCCUACCUGGGGCUAGAGCAUGACUUCCACUUGAUGGGGUUUGCCACGUGUCCCCCACUAAGCUCUUGUCCUUCCUCUUGUGCUCUGUGGUGACUGGCAGGUAUUUGUGGGAUUGUGAGAAGGCUCUUUGACAAGGGGACCUCAUCUGGAGCUCCGAGUCUUUGUGAAAACGGAGGACAGCACACCAGGCUCCCUCUCUGCCCUGCCUCUGCCAUCUGACCCUGGGCAAGCCCUUCUGUCAUUCUUCCAUCAGCUUGUCUGUCACUAGGAGAGCAGGUGAUCAUGUCCCACCUGGCACAUCCUGUGCCUCUGAGCGGCCUCCCGGUGCCAGGAGAGGGGUGUCAUAGCCACUCAGCAGGGGACAGGCACAUCCACACUUCCUCUGUGAAAGAGGUCAGUCUUCAGCUGGCCUCGGGUUGCUCCUUUCUUCCAAGUUGACAAAACUUUUCAAGUUUGGAAAGCAGCCCGUUGGAUUUGCGUGAUGGAAUAUUGCGUAAACCACAUGAUUCAAAACAAACAUGCCACAAGGCACUUUGAUUUCAGAAAUGGAAACUCACCCGGCAUUAUUUCCCCCAUCAAGGCUCCCGCUUCUCCACAGGGCCAUGUGACCCUGGGCGAGGGAGACCAAGGGCUGAGGGGCGCACUUCAUUGGCUGCCUGGCUGCUGACAGCCCUGCGCUCUGCUCUCCCUGAUUGGCUUGAGUGCUGGUGGACACACUCUUCAGGGAAAGGUCCCUCCCGAGCUUCAUGGGGCGGACGAGUCUGGAUUAGAUGCUUCAUUACAGAAAGUCAUUCGUCUUGCCUGUAUUUUGUCCUUAAUUCUGUGCAGCAAGAAAUGAGGGGAAGUCUCUGCUGGGGAAUCUUUUGCAAAAGGUUCUCUUCACUCUUCAAAAAGGAUUUAAGGGAGGAGAGUGCCCUCUUCUCGUGCCUCUCAGGCCACAGCGUGAGAUCAAAUGUCAACCAGCUGAGCCUGGCAGAGAGAAAAUGGAAAGGACCUGGGUCCUUGGUGCCAUUUUCUUUUGAGCAGACUUGGAACUUCCGUACUCUGGAAGCUGUUGUUCUGAGAGAAAAUGAUUUGUCCCUUGCUCCAGGGCACCUCUGGUUGGGCUGUCUUAUGAAAACAUGCCAACACUGGCUGAGGCUGCUCGUUGGCAUCCCCACUUCCCUCCUGCCUGGAGAGGCUCUGGGAAAAGGGACCGAAGGCCAGAACAGCCUCACAGUGCUUGUCUCUUACCAGAGCCUUUUGACCAAUUCACUGAGCAGGUGGAGGAGAGAGAAAGCAACUCCCCUAACACCGGGGCAGAGCCUAAAGCUGUCAGCGAAAAAACUAGAUUUCCUUGACUUCACAUGCUUUUAACUUUGAGAUUCAUGUGACAUUUUUAUUUUUUUUCCCUAAAAUAUCUUGUUCUUAAUGUGAAAAUCAUUUACCCACUUACUAGGUAAAUUAUCCAACUCCUCUUAUCCUGCAAAUUUUUAAUUGAAAGUGAUACUGCACCUGCACCUGGCAGGACAUAUAGAGGGCGUGAGGACCACAGGCCGAGCAGCAGUUUCCAGAAACAGUCUCUGGACAUAACUUGCAACCUGGUGGUGCCAGCCUCGAAUUAGUCAGGGCAAGGGGAAGAAUGCUGGGUGGAUGCAGCAACUUCCCCCACCUUGGGUCCUGGGCUGGAGACUCCAGGCAGGCAGUGCUGACAGACGCCGGCACACCCGGCAGAUAAGGUCUGAACAGGUGAAUCCCCAGACUGCACAGGUAACUCCAGAAAGGGUUGCAUCAUCACGUGGGGAGCUCGGGUGACUGGCUGCAGCCAUCCACUCCGUACUAAGGGCAUCAUCUCACUUCCACCGAGCUCACGAACCUGGGCUGGUUGUGUUUUCAAUGAGAUGUGGAAGGGAAAUUUCCUGACAUUAUUUUGAGUACGUUCCUCUUACAUUGCCCCCAACCACUAUUUUUUGGUGAAGUGUAGAUUCUCCUUCUGUAAAAACUCCCUAGAAAAUAAGCUCAGGAAAGCCAGGGACUUUUCCUGCCAUGUUCUCUGCUCAGACCCCACAACUUAAGCCACAUUUGGCGCACAGCACUUGCUUCGUAAAUAUGUUUUGAAUGACUGACUUUCGAGAGAUUGAACGGGGAGUCCUUGAAGGUCACAUGGCAUGGGGGAGGGGAAAGUACUGUGAAGGCAGCUAGAGUCUAAAAAGGGUUCAGACAGGAAUGGAGAGGAAAAGAUGGAGAUGGUGGUGGAGACAUGGGAGGGGAGUCAGAAGCAUCUGAGGACUGUGACCCUGGAGGAGGCCAGCAGACCUCCUGGGGCCCACCGCAACAAUUGUUCUCAUUCUCAGGAGCCACAGGAGGGACACAGCUCAUUGUUAUCAGUGCCAGAAUCUCUGUGGACCGGGCUCCUGGGUCUGGAGGAGGAAAUGCUCCGUAGACCCUGCAGGGGACUGCGCUCCUCUGCUCACCUCCUCACCCCUGGCGGGGCUGGGAGGAAUGAAUCGCAUGGCUGGCUAGUGGGAGAAGCGCCGAGCUGUCCCAGCCUGAGAUAGCCAAGCUGGCACAGGGGAGGCGAAGGGACCGGCCGGAGGCCCUUCACAGGCCUUCUGUGCGAAGGAGGGGCGGAGAAGUGGCCGUAGGGCCAGCCUCCCGCUGCCUGGUUGUCCAGCGGCCCUCACUUCCUCUGCCCUCUUGCCGUCAGCCACAGCCAGGCACUUCUACCUCUGGGUUUAAGAGCCUCCUGAAUGCUCGGGUUCCACUCCCCUCAGAUACCCUGCCGCUCAAUUUGAGUAGCCACACGAGGGGGGCGCAUCAUGUCAAAGGUCCCUCAGCCACUGACCCGGGCUGAGACGGUCUCAGUGGGGGGUGGCGGUUGUGCCCACAGUCCCUGGGGUCAGCCUUUCCUAGCUCUGUAACCCUGGACAAUUCACUCACACUGUGGACUCUGAAGUCCUGCAUGCCAGAGGUUAGUGUAGAGGCUCCCUGGGUCCUGCCGCUGGUGUACAUAAAGCAGGACACGGAGCGGGGCAUGUAGCGCGUGAUCGUAAAUGUCCACUAUUGCUGCUCUUUGCCUCUCCUUUCGUUCUUUGUAUCUUCUGCCUAAAUUGGUAAAUACUUUCACCUUGGCGGGAAUGGUAGGAGGCAGAGACAUUUCUCUGUUAUUUAAAUCAUUUGAUAUAUUUUCAAAAAAUGAGAAUUCCCACCUACCUUUGGGGUGCAGGCACGUCACAGUACUAUGGUGUUUUUUAAAGCACGUCCACAUGUUUUGGCACUCUUCCAAAACAAGGAAGAGUCUAAUUAAUUCUCCCCUUGACGAGCUCCACCAGGGGAUGCAGUCACAGUUGCCAGCGUCUCUCCCUGACCCCCUGGUGCCUUCAGUCUUGAGCUGCCAUAUUAGAAAUCCAGAGACCUGAAGGAACUGUGUGGGGUGGCAGUGGGGGACAGGCUGUUAGGCCCCACAGUGGGUACAGGGACACGCCCAGGGAACCCUGGCUGCUCCAGCCCCUGCUCCACCUGUUUGUCUUCCUGGCCCAGCUACCAACGUGGGAAUGAAGGAUCCUUGAAACUGACCCAGCCCUGACCACCGUGUGACUGCCAUCUCACAAGAGGCCCCAGAUCAGAGUCGCGCAGCUCAGCUGCUCUCAAAUGCCUCGUCCCCAAGACCCACGAGAGCUAAAUGGACAACAAUUGCUGUUGUAAGCCGCUAAAUUUUGGACCCGGCUCCACGUUUCAGCUGACCCACGACAGGGAUGGCCAUCUCAGUUUACGAAUGCAGAAACUAGGCUUUGGAAAAUUUAAACACAUGGAAGAUGUGACGAAGAGAAAGCAGAGCUGGGACACAGGGCGACUCCUGCGUCUGUGCUCUGCCCUCUGCUCCACUGGAUACUGGAUGAGGUGGAGAACAAGUGAGCAAACGUGCAUUUUUCUGUAUUUCUCCCCAAGCCUGUCAGUGUUCUAGGACUGAACACAGGAUCACUUUGUGUUUGGAACGACACCACCUGCUCAGAGUCCCCUAGCUAACUGCCACAAACAGGCCUGAGGCUGGGCGUGGUGGUGCCCACCUGCAAUCCCAGUGAUUUGGGAGGCUAAGACAGAGGAUCACAAGUUGGAGGCCGGCCUCAGAACUUAGUGAGACCUCGUCUCAAAAACGCAGCAGCUCCAGGCAGCACUUCUUGUUGGAGCGCAGUUGGCAGGCCAGAGGCCCCGGCUGCCCUGAGGAGGUCAGGAGGAGGCUGUGCAGUCCCCAGCUCAGGCAGGCCAGGAAGAGCCGUCUGGCGCGUGGUGAAGAAUGGCAGAGGAAGAGAGAGCAAGCAAGACCGGGAGUGGGGGAACCGUGCAGCCCGUGACUGAAGUUCCAAAGAACGUGGAGCAAGUCUUCAGGAAGAAGACGGAUGUGUGCUGCUUAGAGACCAACAACCGGGCUCUUUGGGAGGCCACUGGCCUGGGAACAGCCCCAGCUGAGGAAGGCAGCACAGUCCACAUUAAAACUGCCGUCUUGACCUGGGAGUGGAGGUACUUGUAAAAUGCAGAAACCAAUGUUCCAGAGAAUUCAUUCCCCUUCACAGCUGUCAAGCACCCAUUGUAUGGGGCGUCAGGGGUCAGUUCACUGCUGGGCUCUUAAUGUACAGAAAAUGUUUUAUGCCCCGGAGGAGUGUGAGGUCUGGAAGGUACUAACUCGUUUUGGAGGCCUGUCGGGAGCCAGGUCCGAUGUUGGGUGACUUACUUAAAUCAUCUCAUUUAAUCUUGACACCAAUACUAUAAAAUAGGCAUUAUUAUCUUUACCAAAAACAGAGAAAUUAAAUAUCCUGCUUGAAGUUAUGUAUGGCAAGCAAGUGCUGACAUUUUAACCCAGGUUAUUCCAAUUCUAAAGCUCCUAGUUGGUCCUCGGUAGACCCGUCUCUCAGUCUUACAGGGUCAUAAUUAUAUUUCUGUGUGCAGGCUGAAUGGAACUGGGUAUAGGGAGCUUGGAGUCUGCAGAGGAGGAAGGUCCAGGGAGGGGAGGUGAUUUCACACAAGUUGUUCCACGUGGGCCGUGAAGGACGAGGAGGAGUGCAGUGGUUGGAGAUGGGCUUUGUAGUCAGGGAGGUGCUCGAGGGAUGGGAAAGGGGGCCUGGAAGGAUGCACCAGGGCUACCCUGUGGGCCUUGGCGAGCACUGGGGUUUUUAAGCAGGAAGGCCACCUGGGAACAUUUGCCUUGGGAGAGGCCGUCCUGGCGGCUCUGUGGGGCACUGCCAGGUGCAGGGAGCUGGGACGGUUUCCCUGCCAUCUCAUGCUGAGAUGACAAGCACUGUCUCUUUUUCUUUGCUUGCAAACCCUCACCUCCUCCUGGGGGCCCAAGUUAGUGAAUGCCCCACCAUGCCCCCACCAAUCAAGCCAGGAGCCUUGGCUGGCCGGGGUGUGGUGGUGCUGGCCCAGAGUGAGCUUCCACGGCCCUCGACUGACUUCUGUGUUUCCAGUUAUGCCCUUGAGGCUUGUGCUGAUCUCCUGGCUGUGCCGUUUCCUCUUAAGCUCUUUCUAAUUGGGCUUUUGCACCAAUUCUGCCCCUGGGAUCCCUGUAUUAGCUUUGCUCUGGUCUCCCUGCCUCUACCCUUGCCUUGGACAUUUUGCAGUCAGAACAAUCCCUCUACAACAGAAGUCAGCCCCUCAUCCUCUGCCUUUGCAAUGAGACCCCCACACCAUCUUUAGCGGCUGCCCCGCCCCCUGGGUUUGCAGAGGCAGGGGCCACACACUUCUGUGCAACCAGUUCACUUUCAGCGCUUUACAUCUUCGUUGAUAGUAAUCUGAACUCUUUAGAGAUUUUUUUUUAAUAGAUCUUUAUUUAUUUUUAUGUGGUGCUGAGGAUUGAACCCAGUGCCUCACGCAUGUGAGGUGGGCGCUCUACCUCUGAGCCCCAGCCCCAGCCCUCUUUAGAGAAUUUUAAGUCUCAGAAGUUCUUUCCGUGUCUCUUCUCUCAUAGAAACCAUUGUCUUCCUUUUACACAUAAGAAAGUUGGCCUCGUGGUUACAUGACUUGUCUAUUGGUAGUGACCAUUUCUGACACCUCCUCUGUGCUGGGCACUGUCAUGUGGCCUGUGCUUCCAACAGACUCAUGAAACAGGUAUUGUUCUCUGGGAGGCCCCGGGGCUGGGAGAGCUCAGUGUCUGGAUGCUUCUGUAACUGGUCUCAGGCCCUCUGCCUGCACCAGGUAGGGCCAGCUGGGCUCAGCCAGUCUUUGCAUGCUGCUCCCCCAGAGGUGGGCUCUGUGAGGGAGGUGCUGUGACCUCAGGCUCUUCUUAAACAUCUUGGUGCUAAUCUUUCCUGAGAAAGUUCUUCACUGAUAAAUAUGACACAGUUCCCGCAUCAGUGCAAGAUGGUCUUUGUUUUCCUCUCAGCUACAUCUGGGGGGAGUUCUUUUGGAGCUGGGAGAGACCCAGAUGGCUGGACGCUCCCAUUCAUGUUAUCUUCUCAGGUGUAGAAGAUUGUUGAGGCGUAUCAGCUAGUUUCUGAAGCCAUGGUUUCAAAUCUUUUUCUUUCAGGACACAAAUUUAUUUUUCAAAUGUUAUUUUAUAUAUAGCUCAAAUAAAAAUCAAGUAAGUCUGGGGGCUGGGGAUGUGGCUCAAGCGGUAGCGCGCUCGCCUGGCAUGCGUGCGGCCCGGGUUCAAUCCUCAGCACCACAUACAAACAAAGACUAAAAAAUAAGUAAAUAUUAAAAAAUUCUCUCUCUCUCUUAAAAAAAAUCAAGUAAGUCUGAAAAGUGGUACCUUUCCCCAGGACGUCAUUCACUUGAACAAUUAGCCUCCUCAUAAAAACAAUCUGUGAACAAAGAAAAUAGAUUAAAAAAAUUCAUUUGACGAGUGUUCACUGUCUGUGAACACAGUGCUUUGUGCUUAGUUUCUACUUUGUAUGGUUGACAUCCAGGUAAUUUUUGAGCCCAGGUCCUUGAGAAACUUAUCUCUAAGAAAGAAAGCAGAACUGAUCCGGACUGAACCUGAUCUGCUGGGCCAGCUCUCUCCUGUUCAGCCCAACAUUCCUAAUUGGUCAGAUUCAAUGAAACGACAUCGUGUUCCUUAGCCAGAGCCAGAGGUGGGAACCUGAGACCUGGGGCUCUCUCCCCAAGGCUGCUUUGUGUUCUCAUGGGGAAUGUCCCUCUUCACUGUCAAGCUGGGGCCUGUGUGUGUGUGUGUGUGAGAGAGAGAGAGCUCUGGGCACCUCCCUCCCCCACUGGACACUAGAGGGCAGGGGUCUUUCCACUGCACAGUGUCAGUCCCCAGUGGGUGGUGACGUCAUCUGGAGGUCCUUCCUCUUCUCAGCCCAGCCGAACAAUUCCACUUUUCAUCUGACACAGACCUGAUCUCCUUUUCUCUCAGAAGCCACCGUUGCUUGCCUCUGCCCAUCAGGAAUUUCUGAUCCUUGACAGAAAAUUACCAUUGCACACAGAUGUCGAUCUUGGGCACCGUUUCCUGUCUAGCUUCCUCUUUCCUUUAAAGGCCGCAUCACAUCUCAUAAUAUUAUUAUUAUUAUUUAUUUUUUUAGUUGUCAAUGGGCCUUUGUUUUAUUCAUUUAUAUGUGGUGCUGAGAAUUGAACCCAGUGCCUCAUACAUGGUAGGCAAGCACUCUGCCACUGAGCCCCAACCCAGCCCCAACAGCUCAUUAUUGAUGCAGCACAACUUGCUUAGCUCCCAACUGGCAGACUUUUAUGUUGGCAUUACAUUUGGUAUUAUAAACAACAUUGGAGAGAAUAUCAGGGUCUUUUUAUCUUGACAUAUUUGUCCACAAAGACAUGUAGGGUAAGUGCCUACCAUUAAUGCUCUAGGGUAAAAGGCAUUACACAGACCUGUUUUUCAUAGCUAUUACCAAUUGAAUGGGAGUGGUUUCAAGCACAUCCUCUCCAACACUGGGUAUCAUAAGUAUUUAGAGUUCACUUGGCGUACGUGUGUCAGACUGGGUUAGCACACAGCUGGCGAGGCACCUAACACCUGUAGCACACCUUCUGAAGAGAGCAUGUUCACCUCCCCCGCUCCUGCCUAGAACAACCCACUCUGAGAUGGUAUUCAGCAGUGGGACCUCUGGGAGAUGACUUGACCAUCAGGGGAGGCCUCAGGACUACACAGUGCCCUUAUUAAAGGACCCAGAGAGUUCUGAGCCUUAAUCUUAUGCUUUCCAGUCUCCAAAACUGAGAAUAAAUUUAUGCUGUUCAUAAACCAUCCAGGCUGCAAAAAUCUGUUAUAGCAGCUUGGCUAAGACAGUUCCUUUUUCUCCAGAGAGAGGACUUUUUUCCCCCACACAUUUUUAUGGGUUCUUUAUAGUUGCACAUAAUGGUGGGAUUUGUUGUUAUAGAUUUGUGCAUGUUCACAAUUUUAGGACAAUGAAUUUUGGCCGACGUCCUUCCACUUUCUUGCCCCUAAAGCGAGGACUUUCUAAAUGCUGUGAUAUUGAACAAAAAUCAUUUGAGUCCCAGUUUUCUUAUCUGGAGAACGGGGCUGAGACCACCUCCCUCACCAAGAUGUUGUAAGGGUUAAACAGCGCAGUGUAAAUGAAGAGCCCAGCCCAGUGUUUGAGGAUGCCCAGCGGUUGGAAGGAACCUUCUCUUUGUGUUCCCUGCACACAAUGGCAACCAAGUGAGGAAACUCAGUGCACUACCAUGGCGCCCAACAUCUGCGAACACGGGCCUCACCCAGUACUUUCAGAGUGGGUCCACUCAAUGCCCACCACCACCCCGCAGUGGUGCUGUGACUCUCCCUACUUCAUGCCAACUUCAAGUUCCAUGCUAGUUAGCCGUGGCUUCUGGAACCAGAACUGGGAUCCUGAGUGCUCUGCCUCCAGCAGGUCAGUUGCCGGCCUCUGGUUUGCCCCGUGCUUCCUGCCAAGCGGCCUGGUGCCCAGGCUGGUCUGGCCUCCUCAGCAGAGUUUCCCCGCCUCCCCUGGGCAUGCCAGGACACUCAUGAGCACCACCUGUCGCUAAUUACACAGUGAUUAACAAGGACAGUAGAGGAAAACAACAAGAUGUUUACUUCAACAAGGUUAAAACACUUGUAAUUCCUUAUUUCAUUUAUCCAAAGAUUGGUUUGGUAUGUACUGGAUAUUGUAGGAAGCCCUAGCUCUAAAAUCAAGCCCCGCGUGGAUCUCCAGCAGCCACAAUUUUGCUUCAGACAUGCGUCAGCGUGCCUUUAACAAGCCAAGAGCUUGGGUGUUUGCAAGUGAGUAUGUAAAAGGGCGUUUUAAAUAAUUAUAAAUAUUCAUAGUUUGUCUUCACUUUUUAUAGCUUCUGUGUAGAUGUUAGCAGGGAGAACUGUAGAAAGAAUUGUGAACUCUAAUUUUGAAAUAGAGAAUAACCCCCAAAGCCCAAAGGAGAGGUCAUUUUGUUUUAAACACAAACGCCUAAUUUGUGCUAAGACACAGGUGAUGGAUGGUGCUGACCCUGUUCUCAUUUCACAAAUGGACAUCAAGGCUGCAAGCACCUGGUGUGGGUUUACAUUAGGACAGAGACAGAUCUGUGGGGCACGUGCUGGGGCUUUCAGAAGGGGCUCUGCUCUGUGCGUUAAACAAAUGUCACACUAUCACCCAGGAAAAACUGAAAGGAUACACAGCACAGUAUUAACCCCAUGUGGUGGGGUUAGAGGACACUUUACACCUUGCUGAAUGGCCUGAAACAUUUAAAAGAGAAUUGAUUUUUAAAACUCCGCAGGAAAAUGAAAACACCGAUUACUACUGACACGGUCCUGGCCCCAGUGUCAGUGGCCCUUGGCUGGACUCCCUCCCCAGCUGACCUCAGAGCCAUCUCAGAUAGGCCAGUGGACGGUUCUUCCUCUCACUCCAGUCAGAGGUGAGGGCUUGGGCUGCUGCUUCACUCCAGGCGGGCAGAGGUCCUGGUGUGUCACUGGGUGGUAAGAGAGCACUUCUGCCCCCUGACCUCGGCCUGCCCCCUGGGGUCAGCACAUCACCCCAGAGUUCCAGAGCCCUGGCUGUGUGUUCUGGGAUAGCAGGCUUGAGAACUGGAUGUCCAGCUUCUGGUCAAGCUCUGCCUCUUGGGCGGCUCAUCCAGCCGGUUGGAGCCAGUUUCCUUAUCUAUGGAGGGCAGGUACUAGUAUUAUCAUUUUGGGGUUGUUUAAAUAUUGCAGAUAAUAUAUAGAGAGUGUUGACCAAAGCACUUGGCCUUUGCUCACCCAACAGCCGUUCAUUGGCCACCUGUUUAUUUGCCAAGCACUCCUUUGGCCUUAUAGAGUAAAUGUACUUUUUUAAAAAAGAGGAACAUCUGUUUUAUUUUAUGUAUUUUCAAGCAGUACAGUACCAUGCACCAGGGUUUAAAUGCGUCAUCUCUGCCCUCCAACAAACAGGCGGUGUGAGCAGUCACCUGUGGCCACUGCAGCUAGCUUUGCCAUUAUUCAUAGUCAAAGUUGUGUUUUGGGGGGGUCUUGCUUUUUUUUUUUUUUAAAGCAAACAAGAGGAAAAGAACAAGCUUAAAAAAAGCUCCAUGAUACCUAUUCCAUUUUAUAGAAAAGAUAUUUUCAGGGGCUGGGGCUGGGACCCAGUGGCAGAGUGCUUGCCUGGCAUGCGUGAGGUGCUGGGUUCAAUCCUCAGCACCACACAAAAAAAUAAAAACCAAAUAAAAUAAAGGCAUUCUGUCCAUCUACUACUACAAAAAAAAUUGAAAGGUAUUUUCAUUAUUCGUAUAUCAAGAUUCUAAUUUAGGUUUAUGAAAAUGUCCGUAGUUUCUAAGACUUAUGCUCUUAUUAUUAAAUGUGGUGGAAAUAAGGAAACAACAUUGAAACAUAUUUUUAAGAGAGUUAGAACUGAUGCCAUUCCUAUGUAACAGCUCUUUGGGGAAAUGGAAGUUCUCACAGAGCUAAUAGUGUCGAGAGUUAUUGAACCCUUUUGCGUGCCAGGUGCUGUUCUAAAUGUAUGAUAAUUUAAGUUUUCACAAAAGGGAGAUGAGAUUGAGGCACAGAGAGGUCAGGUAGCCGGGUCACAGGUAAAGUGGCAGAGCUGGGAUUGAACCCAGGAAGCUGGCUCCAAGCGACAGCCCAUGGUGUGCUGGUCUGUCCAUGCACAUUUUACUUGGUUAGCCUCACUUUUGAACAAAUGGAUUUAUGAACAGCUUUUUGAAAUCUGUCCUGCUCAGUAGUGGAGAAUGUCCUGACUAGACACCAAGUGCCAAAGGAGAAGUUGGGUGGCCAGAGCUGUCCACGAAACACCCACUGAUUUCUUUGUUAUGCUGUCCUCAUAUCCAGAGAAUCUGAGAAGAGGAGCUCUCAUUGGGAAUCUGUUCUGUAACUCCCUUUUAGAAGUUUGUGUGGAGAAUCCGGAUACGGUGGCACAAGCCUGGACUCCCGGCGACUAGGGUGGCUGCGGUAGGAUGAUCACAACUUUGAGGCCCACCUGGAUAACCUAGCACGGAAUAAAAGUAAAAGUAAUAAAAAAGGGAGGCUAAGGAAUUAGCUCAGUGGUAGAAUACUGCUGGCUUUAAUCCUCAGUACCACAUGAAAAAAAAAUUGGGGUGGGUGGUUGCACAUAGGCUGAAAUUCAAGUUGAAUUUGUUAAACAUUAAUAGAUGAGAAACAAUGAAGACUCUGUGUGACACUUGGAAGGGACAGGAAAUUGCUGAAGUAGUCAGCAUUCGGGGGAAAAAAGCAAGUCAAAGGGAUGAGAAAUGGGAGGCAAAGCUAGUGGCCAGGUGUCCCGUCUUCCUGGCUGGUGAGACCAUCGGGGUGCUGCCCUCUGACUCCAGGGCCCUGCUGUCACAGGCUCUGUCGUGCUCUAGCCCAAGUGUCCAGCAGGCUUGCAGGACAUCCCGCUCCAGCCUGGGAGAAGGUCAGAUUGAAAUCAGUGGUUAAACUAGUAAAUACAGGGACAGGCAGCUCGUGACCCAGACGUUUGUAUUGCCUUAGUUCGUGCUCCAGGUUUUACAUCAGUGUUUAUGUUUUGGGAAUGAAAAGUAGCUCUUUGCUCUUAGACUGUUCCAUAAACCAUGGCUUUUAAAAAAAAUUCUGAUUUUUUAUUAAUUUUUAAAUGACAAGUAAAAAUUAUAUAGUUGUGGUAUACAACAUAAUGCUUUGAUAUGUGUAUAAACUGUGAAAUAGCUAAAUCAAGCUAAUCAACAGAUGCCUUACUUCACAUACCUGUGUGUAUGUGAAGUACAUUAAAUAUUUUCUCUACACAUCUUUUUCUAAUGAUUCUUAAAUAUUUCCUCUACUAGAAGAAGAUACGUGUUCAAUCAACAAAUAUAUGAAAACAUGUUCAACAUCUCUAGUAAUUAGAGAAGUGCAAAUCAAAACUACUUUAAGAUUUCAUCUCACGCCAGUCAGAAUGGCAGCUAUUAUGAAGACAGACAACAAUAAAUAUUGGCAAGGAUGUGGUGGCAAAAGCACACUCAUGCAUUGCUGGUGGGUCUGCAAAUUGGUACAACUAAUCUGGAAAGCAGUAUGGAGAUUCCUUAGAAAACUUGGAAUGGACCCACCAUUUGAUCCAGCUAUCUCACUCUUUAGUUUAUACCUAAAGGGCUUAAAAUCAGUAUACUAUAGUAAUGCAGCCACAUCAAUGUUUAUAGCAGCUCAAUUCACAAUAGCUAAACUGUGGAAGCAACCUAGAUGCUCUUCAAUAGAUGAGCGGAUAAAGAAACUGUGGUAUAUAUACACAAUGGAAUAUUACUCAGCAUUAAAAGAGAAUAAAAUCAUGGCAUUUGCAGGUAAAUGGAUGGAGUUGGAGAAUAUCAUGCUAAGCAAAGUAAGCCAAUCCCCAAAAACCAAAGGCCGAAGAAUGUUUUCUCUGAUUAGUGGAUACUAAUCUAUAAAUGAGAGAAGCUGUUAUGGGACAAUGGAGGAACUUUGGAUUGGGCAGAGGGGAGGGUGGAGAGGGGAAGGUGCAUGGGAGCAGGAAAGAUGGUGGAAUGAAACGGACGUCAUUAUCCUGUGUACAUGGAUGACUGCCCAUAUGGUGCAAUGCUACAUCAUGUACAACCAGAGAAAAGAAAAGUUGUGCUGCAAUUGUGUACAAUGAAUCAAAAUGCAUUCUGUUGUCAUAUACACCUAAUUAAAAUAAAUUAAUUAAUUAAUUAAAAAAUAUUUCUUCUACUUUUUCCUUAAUGUAAGUUGUCCAUUUGGAAGCUCUGUGUGUGUGUGUGUGUGUGUGUGUGUGUUAAGUAUUUUAAGAACACUUGAAACUUACUGUUAGCAAUUUUCAAGUAUACAGUGUGUUGUCAUUAAUCACAGUCAACUUGAGGUACAAAGGACUCUUGAAUGUAUUCCUCCUAACUGAAAUUUCGCAUUCUUUGAUCAAUCUCUCUCUCUCCCACCAAUCUCCUGCUUCUGGUAACCACCAUUUUACUCUGUUUCUAUGAAUUAGACAUUUUAGAUUUCAUGCAUAAGUGAGAUCAUUCAGUAUUUACCUUUUUUGUACCUGGCUUGUUUUGCUAAACAUUAAAAUAAUUGGAAUUUUUAUUUUAAAAUGUAAUUAGAAAUAUUAAAUCACCAGAUUUAAGAAAAGUAUAUCUAGAGAG